rnacentral:tRNA from 1 species
UUUAAUUGAAACCAAAAUAGAGGUAAAUCACUGUUAAUGAUUAUAAUGAGAUUUCUCCAAUUAAA